UACGUAGGGGCAAGCGUUGUCCGGAAUCAUUGGGCGUAAAGAGCGUGUAGGCGGCCCGAUAAGUCCGCUGUGAAAGUCCAGGGCUCAACCCUGGAAUGCCGGUGGAUACUGUCGGGCUCGAAUCCGGAAGAGGUGAGUGGAAUUCCGUGGUGUAGCGGUGAAAUGCGCAGAUAUCAGGAGGAACACCAAUGGCGAAGGCAGCUCACUGGGACGGUAUUGACGCUGAGACGCGAAGCGUGGGGAGCAAACAGG
rnacentral:rRNA from 1 species